UACAGAGGUCUCAAGCGUUGUCCGGAUUCAUUGGGCGUAAAGCGCGUGUAGGCGGCCAGGUAGGUCUGCUGUGAAAACUCGAGGCUCAACCUCGAGACGUCGGCGGAAACCAUCUGGCUAGAGUCCGGAAGAGGAGACUGGAAUUUACGGUGUAGCGGUGAAAUGCGUAGAUAUCGUAAGGGAAGACCAGUGGCGAAGGCGGGUCUCUGGACAGUUCCUGACGCUGAGGCACGAAGGCCAGGGGAGCAAACGGG
rnacentral:rRNA from 1 species